CCCCUCUUAGGGUCACACCUGGAGAGUUUCCAGUCCUCUACCAGUCUUGGCUACGGGAGGGAGAGUCAAGCAGAGGCCUGUCCAUUCCAUUCCUAGCUUGGCCAGUGGCUAGUGAGUGGAAGGCAAUCUGCUACAAGU
rnacentral:snoRNA from 1 species